rnacentral:rRNA from 1 species
UGGAAAGUCCGACGGUACAGGGUGAUAGUCCCGUACACCAAAAUGCACAGGCUGUGAACUCGAAGAGUAGGGCGGGACACGUGGUAUCCUGUCUGAAUAUGGGGGGACCAUCCUCCAAGGCUAAAUACUCCUGACUGACCGAUAGUGAACCAGUACCGUGAGGGAAAGGCGAAAAGAACCCCGGCGAGGGGAGUGAAAAAGAACCUGAAACCGUGUACGUACAAGCAGUGGGAGCACCUUCGGGUGUGACUGCGUACCUUUUGUAUAAUGGGUCAGCGACUUAUAUUCUGUAGCAAGGUUAACCGUAUAGGGGAGCCGCAGGGAAACCGAGUCUUAACUGGGCGUUAAGUUGCAGGGUAUAGACCCGAAACCCGGUGAUCUAGCCAUGGGCAGGUUGAAGGUUGGGUAACACUAACUGGAGGACCGAACCGACUAAUGUUGAAAAAUUAGCGGAUGACUUGUGGCUGGGGGUGAAAGGCCAAUCAAACCGGGAGAUAGCUGGUUCUCCCCGAAAGCUAUUUAGGUAGCGCCUCGUGAACUCAUCUUCGGGGGUAGAGCACUGUUUCGGCUAGGGGGUCAUCCCGACUUACCAACCCGAUGCAAACUACGAAUACCGAAGAAUGUUAUCACGGGAGACACACGGCGGGUGCUAACGUCCGUCGUGAAGAGGGAAACAACCCAGACCGCCAGCUAAGGUCCCAAAGUCAUGGUUAAGUGGGAAACGAUGUGGGAAGGCACAGACAGCCAGGAUGUUGGCUUAGAAGCAGCCAUCAUUUAAAGAAAGCGUAAUAGCUCACUGGUCGAGUCGGCCUGCGCGGAAGAUGUAACGGGGCUAAACCAUGCACCGAAGCUGCGGCAGCGACACUAUGUGUUGUUGGGUAGGGGAGCGUUCUGUAAGCCUGCGAAGGUGUGCUGUGAGGCAUGCUGGAGGUAUCAGAAGUGCGAAUGCUGACAUAAGUAACGAUAAAGCGGGUGAAAAGCCCGCUCGCCGGAAGACCAAGGGUUCCUGUCCAACGUUAAUCGGGGCAGGGUGAGUCGACCCCUAAGGCGAGGCCGAAAGGCGUAGUCGAUGGGAAACAGGUUAAUAUUCCUGUACUUGGUGUUACUGCGAAGGGGGGACGGAGAAGGCUAUGUUAGCCGGGCGACGGUUGUCCCGGUUUAAGCAUGUAGGCUGAUUGUCCAGGCAAAUCCGGAUAAUCAAGGCUGAGGUGUGAUGACGAGGCACUACGGUGCUGAAGUAACAAAUGCCCUGCUUCCAGGAAAAGCCUCUAAGCAUCAGGUAACAUCAAAUCGUACCCCAAACCGACACAGGUGGUCAGGUAGAGAAUACCAAGGCGCUUGAGAGAACUCGGGUGAAGGAACUAGGCAAAAUGGUGCCGUAACUUCGGGAGAAGGCACGCUGGUGUGUAGGUGAAGUCCCUGCGGAUGGAGCUGAGACCAGUCGAAGAUACCAGCUGGCUGCAACUGUUUAUUAAAAACACAGCACUGUGCAAACACGAAAGUGGACGUAUACGGUGUGACGCCUGCCCGGUGCCGGAAGGUUAAUUGAUGGGGUUAUCCGUAAGGAGAAGCUCUUGAUCGAAGCCCCGGUAAACGGCGGCCGUAACUAUAACGGUCCUAAGGUAGCGAAAUUCCUUGUCGGGUAAGUUCCGACCUGCACGAAUGGCGUAAUGAUGGCCAGGCUGUCUCCACCCGAGACUCAGUGAAAUUGAACUCGCUGUGAAGAUGCAGUGUACCCGCGGCAAGACGGAAAGACCCCGUGAACCUUUACUAUAGCUUGACACUGAACAUUGAGCCUUGAUGUGUAGGAUAGGUGGGAGGCUUUGAAGCGUGGACGCCAGUCUGCGUGGAGCCAACCUUGAAAUACCACCCUUUAAUGUUUGAUGUUCUAACGUUGGCCCCUGACCGGGGUUGCGGACAGUGUCUGGUGGGUAGUUUGACUGGGGCGGUCUCCUCCCAAAGCGUAACGGAGGAGCACGAAGGUUAGCUAAUCCUGGUCGGACAUCAGGAGGUUAGUGCAAUGGCAUAAGCUAGCUUGACUGCGAGCGUGACGGCGCGAGCAGGUGCGAAAGCAGGUCAUAGUGAUCCGGUGGUUCUGAAUGGAAGGGCCAUCGCUCAACGGAUAAAAGGUACUCCGGGGAUAACAGGCUGAUACCGCCCAAGAGUUCAUAUCGACGGCGGUGUUUGGCACCUCGAUGUCGGCUCAUCACAUCCUGGGGCUGAAGUAGGUCCCAAGGGUAUGGCUGUUCGCCAUUUAAAGUGGUACGCGAGCUGGGUUUAGAACGUCGUGAGACAGUUCGGUCCCUAUCUGCCGUGGGCGCUGGAGAAUUGAGGGGGGCUGCUCCUAGUACGAGAGGACCGGAGUGGACGCAUCACUGGUGUUCGGGUUGUCAUGCCAAUGGCACUGCCCGGUAGCUAAAUGCGGAAGAGAUAAGUGCUGAAAGCAUCUAAGCACGAAACUUGCCCCGAGAUGAGUUCUCCCUGAGACUUUAAGUCUCCUGAAGGAACGUUAAAGACGAUGACGUUGAUAGGCCGGGUGUGUAAGCGCAGCGAUGCGUUGAGCUAACCGGUACUAAUGAACCGUGAGGCUUAACCUUAC